rnacentral:misc_RNA from 1 species
UUGAAUUAAUUUGGUUGGAUUGUUGCUGGCUCUUAGGAGCAUGUGCACAUCCACUCCAUUUUUCAACCACCUGUGCACACUUUGUAGGCUUGAAUUACCCUUCGAGGACACUCGGUUUGAGAAUUGCUGUCAAGUGCAGCUUUUCUUGCAUUUCAAGUCUAUGUUUUAUAUACUCCAUAAGAAUGUAAUUGAAUGUUAAUUAUGGGCCUUUUGUGCCUUUAAAACAAAAA